ACCUGGCUCACACCGGUUUAAACUCAGAUCAUGUAAAAUUUUAAAGGUCGAACAGACCUAAUAUGAAAGCACCUUCACCCACAAUUAAUUUUAAUCCAACAUCGAGGUCGCAAUCUUUUUUUUCGAUAAGAACUCUAAAAAAAAUUACGCUGUUAUCCCUAAGGUAAUUUAUUCUUAUAAUCUAAACUUUAGGAUCAUAUAUUCACAAAUAAGUGUAUAAAUAAAAAAAAAGUUAUUUUAAUUUUUUCAUCACCCCAACAAAAUACUUUUCUGAUUAAAAUAAUUUUAUUAACCAAAAUUUCAUUAAAUUAGAAAAAUAUAAAACUCUAUAGGGUCUUCUCGUCUUCUAUAUACAUUUAAGCUUUUUAACUUAAAAAUAAAAUUCAAAUUAAUUUUUACAGAGACAGUAAUUUUCUUAUCCAACCUUUCAUUCCAGCUUUCAAUUAAAAAACUAAUGAUUAUGCUACCUUUGCACGGUUAAUAUACCGCGGCCAUUCAACUCCUCAUUGGGCAGGCUAGACCUAAAAUUAUUUUCAAUAGGCC
rnacentral:rRNA from 1 species